ACGGGACAAAAUGUUUUCCACGACGUCCGCAUCACCUACCUUCUCAAGUGAUGAGACGCAGCCUCCUCCCUCCUCGACACCAGAAGGCGUAAUGACUAACAGCUGGGGAGGCCGACUAUUUUCAAACCCAAAUGGGAAUGGAGAUGUACAGACGACGUGUUAUUAUCUCCUCUGCUCGUGAAUUGAGCCCCGGUACCUGGCCACCCACACACCAACAAGGAAAAAGAGGACCCUAAAACUACAAAUCGAGACUCAAAGGCGAAACAUUCCUCACAUUUAACACAGAAGAUUAGGUAACAGGUUUUACCAAAAUCCCAUGGAACCUAAAAUAGCAGGAAAAAGACCAGCGCUGAACCGAGAGUUUCUGACAAUCUGCAAUAAUCCACGCUUUGGAGCAAAUCACUGUGUGAAACACACUUAAACUGAAGCAUUUAAUCAGGAACAUGCUGUGCGCAAU